ensembl:lncRNA
GAAGGUCCGCGUGGGCGUCUGGUGGGCACUGAGGCUUGCAGAGACUUGAGGUGUGGAGGGCAGAGCCAGGGAGGAGCGAGCAUGUCUUAGGACCUGACAGCCAGGCGGCUGGCACCGCCAUCACCGCUAUCGCUGCUCCUGGUGUUGGUGCUGCUGUCCGGAGCUGGGGCUCUGCGUCCUGAAGAGCUUUUUCCUUACGGGGAGUCGUGGGGAGACCGACUGCCACAGGAGGGCGACGAUGAGAGCUCUGCCUCUGAAGCUAGCAGUACCUCUCCGCUUCUACCUUGUCCAGUUCAGCAACCUCUACAUAAGUUCAGCUCCCAGAGGUGCGCGGCUUGGUGUGGGGUCGUAGUUUCUUCCCAGAGUGUGGAGCAGCUAACCUCCAUGUUUAACUGUCAUCGCCGCUGGGGACCAGGCUUAGCAGUGGCGCUGCAGCUUCUUGAUCCCUACUGUGGAGGAAAAAGGAUCAUUUCAAGGGAGAGCUGGAACCGUCCCUGUCUACUUCGACUUCACAAGCAGAAAGAUGAAGUUGAGGCGGCUAGUGCGGUUUGCGUUUAGGGGCGGUGGGAGGCUGUGCAUGCAGGCAUAGCAAUCUUAUUAAGGACACGGCGCCCAAGGUGUGCAGUUGUGGAGAAAGAUGAGCGGGUUCGAGAGCGGCCGCACCUGUGGGUCGCAGUGCACUUGAGGACUGUCGCUAAAGUUGAGUUGGUUACCCUGGAUGUGUCUCAACCUGCAAAGAGCCAAGGGAUUCUUCUUGACUCUAGUAGAACUAGGACCUUAGGUGCGUUCGACUGGUGGUUGCCCUUGGGACUUGAGCGACCAUGUUUUGCCCUUUUAAAAAUGUUUAUGUGGGGCGGGAUUCACGUGCCACCUCAUGAGUGUGAAGAGCAGAGAACAACCAGUUUUUUUUUGUUUUUGUUUUUGUUUUUGUUUUUGUUUUGUUUGUUUUUUAAUCCCACCUUCUGUCGGGUCCUAAAACUCAAGUCUUCAGGUUUGACUGCAGAGUACCCUUACCUGCUGAACUGUCUCACCGUCCUGUGGUCUUAUUGUAGGUGGGCACCAAUGGCAUCAUCUCCACCCAGGACCUACUCAGGGAGACUUAAUAUGUCGUUGAUGAUUUUCCUACUGACUUCCUAGUCAUUGCCCCAUUCCUGGCUGACAUCCACUCGAGUCACAGCAGUGGCCAGAUCCUGUAUGGAGGACACCUCCUGGGCUGUGCUGAGUCUGGCUGCUUGCUACCUGUGCACAGGCUUCCUGCUGACCGGGUCCAGCUUCCCCCCUACCCACUUCUUCCUGGCCACCUGGGAGCAAGUGGGCCCCUAGGAGGAGGACAGUCUUGGGGCUGCGUGGUCUGGAGAGCUUAACACUUUCCAGGCAGUUCUGGCAUCUGAUGAAUGUGAUUCCUAUGUCCUCUUUCUCUAUCCUGCCAAUGGUCUUCACUUUUUGGAACUCGCCCCAAAGAAUCCUACAGUGUCCAGCUGCAGCUUCCUGCUAAGGUGGGCUUCUGCCAAGGGGAAGCAGAUGACCUGAAGAGAAAAGCCCUGUAUUUCAGCCUGACUAACAGUGAGCAAUCGGUGAAGAAUCUCUACCAGUGACUAAUGUGGAGUGUGUGACUGUGCUAUGCACUGGAAGGACAUUUAGGAGGGACACUAUCUCUAGUGGCCAGAAACCAUUUGAUAAUAACCUUUGGUGGCUUCUAAGAAAGGCUCUGGUUCAAAACCAAGAGCUAAGCUGGCCCUCUGGAGCUUCAGGGUCUCCAAGAUGUAAAAGAUUCUUUCUUUUUCCUGCACUAUCUGUCAGGCAUAGAAACCAGAACCAGCAGUGAUUAUAUGUUUUUGCAGAACUACUGGGGCUUGCUGUGAAAAACAUUGUUCUUGGGGCUACACAAAAAUAUCCAGUCAUAACUAACUGCCUCAGUGGAAGCUUUUCAGGUUAAUGAUUUCCGGAGAGGAGGCAUCAUGAUUCAGUCUUUCAAACAGCGGGACUCAUUUGUCACAGGCGUAGUUAUCAAGAUACACACUAAGGAAGCGUUUGGCGAAUGGAAUCACAUUUUCUUGGCGAAUUAACUUCGUUCCAAGUGGUCCUCGGUUGUAGCAGGCAUAGUUUUCAAGAUAUAGGCAGGGGUAAUUUUCACGAAUGGAGCUGAAGUUUCUAAGCAAUUUGUCUUUGAACCAAGCGGGACUCAUUUGUCGCCGACAUAGUUUUCAAGAUACAGAUUAAAGAAGCAUUUGGCGAAUGGAAUCACAGUUUCUUAGCAAAUUUACUUCGUUCCCAUUGGGACUCAG